rnacentral:lncRNA from 1 species
AGAUGGUCACACCACUCAAUCAGGAGAGGAUCCCAGACGGAACGUGAAGAGCACAGCUCUAGAGAUUUGCCCUGACAGGAGGGAAGGGAGAGAGAAGGAAGAGAGAAGCAGGAUUUCUGCACUGAAAGGAGGAGCCCACUGGAUGGCUUCACCCAUUCCAACAAAUCGGAGUGAACUACCACUUUUACAAGCGGGGUGGCCUGCGGAAGGAGGUCAUAGGGUUCAUUCACUGCCCCAUGAAAACUGCAGAAACAUGCUUGAUGUGUGGGACACAGGGACACUAAGUGAGAACGCAGGCAGCCUCGUGUGAUCAUUAGAUUCCGCCUUCUAAGCAAAUCUGCUUUUCAAGGACGUAUUUUAUUUUACCUGUGUGCACGUCACACGACCUGCAACCCUCGACAGUCCCCAAAUGUGCCAGCUCCCUCCCCAUACGGUGGGGCUAUGCCAUACUCUAAGGCACCACUCAGGUCCCCCUGGCCUGCUCCUUUUUAACCUGAUACCCUGCACCGACAGUUUCCAUCGUCAGAAUUUCUGUUAAAAACUCUGUAGCCCACCUCGGGUGGGGGAGUGCUGAGUGCUGUGAACAGGAUUUAAAAUGCACAAGUAAAGAAAUUAAUAGAGGAAAAAUAACCAAAACUACAACAAAACCUUCCCCAGUCCUGAUCCUCCUGGGGAUAAAGUCCACCCUGAGAGUCUUCCUUCACUAAAGAGAUGCUGCACGUUAACCAGUUAGGACAACGGGGGAAAUCACUCGCCAAACAAAGUUACCACAAACCAGAAGCUGUAAGGACCGGGAACACAGAUGUAGGACAGGUGGGUCUGACCACGCCCUCAAUCGAGACAGAAAUGCUAUGUGGGUACGUAAAAGACCAACGAUUCAGAGAGAAAAUGGAGUUCUUACUUUCUGCGAAACAUUUCUGCAAAGAUGCAGCCGACACUCCAGAGGUCCACAGGGGUGGCAUAGCUGGACUGGAGCAGGACUUCUGGGGCUCGGUACCACAGCGUGACGACCUGCAAUAGCAAAGACACCUGAUUGUUACUGAGGAAGCCAGCUGUCGAGUUACACGCCCAUCUCGUGUGGCCCGAGGACAAGAUCUAGUUCAUACAGAACUAUAUCUCGUGGUAACAACACGACAGAGGCAAGAAGCGCACAGGACUCCACGGGCCAGGAAAUUACAUCAUCCCACACCCUGGGCUCCCAUUUCACUGUCUCAAUGGGACCAGGAUGGCACACAACACAGGUUUCAGAGAGCAAAG